GUGCCCGCCGAGAAGCAAGAGAGAAGUAAGAGGGAGAAAGAAAGGAUUGAUCGAGGGGACCACCAUCGGCUCUUGCUCUGUGCUUUCUGCUGCAGUUACGGUUGUUUGUUGUGUUGCGUUUUGUUGGACGACAUACCUUACAUUGACCAUGGCGUCUUUAAGAUUGAUUUCCCAACGGAUUGCUCCACGCAUCCUUGCGGUUGCUUCGCA
rnacentral:ribozyme from 1 species